rnacentral:rRNA from 1 species
CAAAAAAGACAGUCNCAGUUCGGAUUGAAGGCUGAAAUUCGCCUUCAUGAAGCCGGAAUUGCUAGUAAUGGCAGGUCAGCAUACUGCCGUGAAUACGUUCCCGGGCCUUGUACACACCGCCCGUCACACCAUGAGAGUUGGGAAUACCCGAAGCCUGUGAGCUAACUUUUAGAGGCAGCAGUCGAAGGUAGAAUCAAUGAUUGGGGUGAAGUCGUAACAAGGUACC